rnacentral:rRNA from 1 species
AUGCAAGCUCGUGGCAUCUCGCAGCGCACCGCCGCUGUGCUGCUGGCGAUGGCGGUGCUGCUGGGGACGUCGCCGCCCGACGCAGCGGCUCAAGGCCUGGCGGCCCCUCGUGGCGCGUGUCAACAAGGACGCCUCCACCUCCCUCUACACCAUCGCAUCAUGGACGGAGGGGGGCCGCUCCUCCUCGACCUCGCCGGCCCAAUGCUCUGGGUCGCCAACUGCCCCUGCACGCACUGGGCCAUCGGGUGCGGCGGCGGCGACUGCAACGGCAUCCGCAAUAUGUUCACCCCGGAUGCCUGCGUUAGUGCGGAAUGGCCGACGCAGGGGGAGGGCCCGUGCGUCUGCACCGCCUUGCCGUACAACCCGGUCGACGGGCGCUGGGUCGCCGCCCAAGCCACCACUAUCUCCAUCGCCGCCAACGCCACGGACGGCAAGAACCCGCUCUUCCCGGUCACUUUCCCCGUCGUCGGGUCCUGCGCGCCCGGGGAUUUCCUGGCCUCGCUCCCGGCGGGCGUGGCCGGCGUCGCGGGGCUCGCGAGGUUGCUUAACUCUCUGCCGUUGCAGGUCGCCCAGUGGUACCGCCUGAAGCAAGAGUUCGCGCUGUGCCUGCCCAGGGCCGGGGACGGCGUGGCCGUCUUCGGUGGCGGCCCGUUCCAGCUCCUGGCCGCGCCGACCGUGGAGCUCGCCGACAGCCUCCGCAAGAAGCCUCUCCCGUUCCUCUCCCGUUCCUCUUUAACCCCAAAAACCGCGCCUACUACUUUACCAUCACCGGCAUCCCCGUGA